AGAGUUUGAUCCUGGCUCAGGAUAAACGCUGGCGGCGUGCAUAACACAUGUAAGUCGAACGAUGAACUAUACUAUUUAUAGUGUGGGGAUUAGUGGCGAACGGGUGAGUAACACGUAGGUGACCUGCCCCAAAGAAAGGAAUAACUCUGCGAAAGCGGAGCUAAUACUUUAUAUGAUCGGUUAUUCGUUUAGCCGAUUAAAGCUCUGGCGCUUUGGGAGGGGCCUGCGGCCCAUCAGCUAGUUGGUAGGGUAAUGGCCUACCAAGGCUAAGACGGGUAGCUGGUCUGAGAGGACGAUCAGCCACAAUGGCACUGAAAUACGGGCCAUACUCCUACGGGAGGCAGCAGUGAGGAAUAUUGGACAAUCGACGAAAGUCGGAUCCAGCAACGCCGCGUGAACGAUGAAGGCCUUCGGGUCGUAAAGUUCUUUUAAGAGGGAAGAGGAAGGACGGUACCUCUUGAAUAAGUCUCGGCUAACUACGUGCCAGCAGCCGCGGUAACACGUAGGAGGCUGGCGUUAUCCGGAUUCAUUGGGCGUAAAGCGCGCGCAGGUGGCUAGGUAAGUCGGGUGUGAAAGCUCCGAACUUAAUUCGGAGAGGUCAUUCGAUACUGUCUAGCUUGAGAGCGAGAGAGGGAAGCGGAAUUCCGGGUGUAGUGGUGAAAUGCGUAGAUAUCCGGAGGAACACCAGUGGCGUAGGCGGCUUCCUGGCUCGUUUCUGACACUAAGGCGCGAAAGCGUGGGUAGCGAACGGAAUUAGAGACUCCGGUAGUCCACGUUGUAAACGAUGGGUACUGGGUGUGGGGAGUAUUAAUCCUCUCUGUGCCGUAGCUAACGCGUUAAGUACCCCGCCUGCAGACUACGGCCGCAAGGCUAAAACGCAAAGGAAUUGACGGGUCUCCGCACAAGCAGCGGAGCGUGUGGUUCAAUUCGAAGAUACACGAAGAACCUUACCUGGGUUUGACAUGUUGGUAGUAAUGAAGCGAAAGCGGAAUGAUCCCUCGGGAAGCCGUCACAGGUGCUGCAUGGCUGUCGUCAGCUCGUGCCGUGAGGUGUUGGGUUAAGUCCUGUAACGAGCGCAACCCUUACUGCUAGUUACAAGUGUCUAGCGGAACUGCCGGUGACAAGCCGGAGGAAGGUGGGGAUGACGUCAAGUCAGCAUGGCCUUUAUAUCCAGGGCUACACACACGCUACAAUGGCCGGUGCAAUGGGUCGCCAAGCCGCGAGGCGGAGCUAAUCCUUAAUACCGGUCCCAGUUCGAAUUGCAGGCUGCAACUCGCCUGCAUGAAGUUGGAGUUGCUAGUAAACGCGCGUCAGCAAUAGUGCGUUGAAUACGUUCCCGGAGAUUGUACACACCGCCCGUCACAUCAUGGGAGUUGGUAACACCUGAAGUCAGUGGGCUAACCGCAAGGAGGCAGCUGUCGAAGGUGGGACUAGCGACUGGGAUGAAGUCGUAACAAGGUA
rnacentral:rRNA from 1 species